GAGUAAAGAUUUCGGUCGCUUUGGGAGGAGCUCGCUUACUAUCAGCUUGUUGGUAGGGUAAUGGCCUACCAAGGCUAUGACGGUUAGGGGGUGUGAGAGCAUGACCCCCAGCAUUGGCACUGAAACACUGGCCAAACACCUACGGGUGGCUGCAGUCGAGAAUCUUCCACAAUGGGGGAAACCCUGAUGGAGCGAUGCUGCGUGCGGGAUGAAGGCCUUCGGGUUGUAAACCGCUUUUGUAGGGGACGAAAUUUUUGACGGUACCCUUUCGAAUAAGAGGUUGCUAACUCUGUGCCAGCAGCAGCGGUAAUACAGAGACCUCAAGCGUUAUCCGGAUUUACUGGGCGUAAAGCGUCUGUAGGGGGUUUAUUAAGUUCCAAGUAAAAUUUCAAGGCUCAACUUUGAAUUCGCUUGGAAAACUAAUAAACUGGAGUCUAGCAGAGGUGCAUGGAACUUGUGGUGUAGGAGUGAAAUCCGUUGAUAUCACAAGGAACACCAAAGGCGAAGGCAUUGCACUGGGCUAGCACUGACCCUGAGAGACGAAAGCGUGGGGAGCAAAACGGAUUAGAUACCCGUGUAGUCCACGCCCUAAACGAUGAAUGCUAAAUGUUCGGGGAUUCGACCCCCUGGGUGUUACAGCUAACGCGUUAAGCAUUCCGCCUGGGAAGUACGGCCGCAAGGCUAAAACUCAAAGGAAUAGACGGGGAUCCGCACAAGCGGUGGAGCGUCUGGUUUAAUUCGACAGUAAGCGUGGUACCUCACCAGGGUUUGACAUCCCUUGACAGCCUUGGAAACAAGGUUUCCUUCGGGCAAGGUGACAGGUGCUGCAUGGUCGUCGUCAGUUCGUGCCGUGAGGUGUUCCGUUAAGUCGGGAAACGAACGAAACCCCUAUUGCAUGUUACAAUUUCUCAUGCAAGACUGCCCGGAUAUACUGGGAGGAAGGUGGGGAUGACGUCAGAUCUGCAUGGUCCUUAUACCCUGGGCGACACAGGCGCUACAAUGGCAGAGACAAAGGGUUGCAAAACCGCAAGGUGAAGCUAAUCCCAAAAACUUUGUCUAAGUUCGGAUUGAAGGCUGCAAUUCGCCUUCAUGAAGCUGGAAUCGCUAGUAAUCGUGAAUCAGCCACGUCACGGUGAAUAUGUUCCCGGAUCUUGUACUCACCGCCCGUCACACCAAGAGAGUUGGUAGCUCCCGAAGC
rnacentral:rRNA from 1 species